AGCUGCAGCGGAGAAGGCCAGCAGAUGUCCCUGAAUGAACUUCUUGUCAAGGCCUGCGUGCAUCAGAAAGGAGACCAGACCGAAAGCUGCAGGAGCCUGCAGGAGACCAGAAGACGGUUCAAACACCUACUCCAGAUCUGCUGGCUCAGAGGACCUGCUGCAUGGAUGACCAGGCCUAGAGUGGCUGUGAUGUGGGAGCCAUGCCGCCCCGGCCUCGUUUGAUCUGAAAGAAGACGUCAUCUGAACGUUAUUCAUCAGGAACACCUUUGAAGGACGGGAUGAGUUCAACGUACCCCGCGUAGAGAAGUAACCUCCGAUUUGAUCCACAACAAACAUGAAGGUGAACCCAAGCGUUAAAGCUACCCCGAUGUAGAAGCGAGGCGCCGGGCUUUCUUCUGUGGCGGCGCCGUCUGAUUUACUGGCAUUGAGAGCAGAUGGCAGAUCAGAGGAAGAUGCUGGAGAGGGAAGAUGGAGAAGCGUUUGAUCUAAAUCCAGCACCUUUACCUUCUAUUCAAUAUGUAUUUUUUAACUACUUAAGGAUUAAGACUUGGUUUUUAACAUACAUUUUUUAAAUAUUUAUUUUUUGCUUAUUAAAUAAAGUAUAUUCAGUGUAUUUUCGGUUCAGAAGUUUAGAAAUAAUAAAAACAAACAUUUACAUUUCCAUAGUUUCUUUUAUUAUGAUAAUAUAAAGCACUUCACCCGUUGUCAAGGCAACCCAGCAGAAACAGGAUUCUCUCGUUCUUUACCUUUCCAUGAGUCCUCCAGCAGAGCCACACCUUCAGGGAUGGUGAUGGCCAGAGCCGUCCCGCACAGCAGACCGGCCCCCAGUAUGGAGACAAACUGCAGACUUUUCUGUCAGGGUUCACGUGCGAAAAGAAAGCCGCAUUGAUGAGGAGUUACCAGCCUGAUCCACGCGUGACACCGCUGGAGGCGCGUGAAGCUCAGCCGCGCGCCUUUACAGGGGGAAAGUUUGUUGUUGUUGUUGACGGACCGGCACUCACCUCAGAGAGCCUGAACAGAAGCGGGAAGAAUCCGAGCAGGAAGGAGCCCACGAACAUGGCCACGGAGAUGAGGGUGAUGGUCAGACCGCCGUCCAUGGCGCAGACUUCCUCCUGGUUCAGCUCCGCUUCAGGACGGGACUCAUUUUUGAUAUGAGGGCGCGCGUGCGCGUCGCCGCCGUCCUCCCUCCCCGGGUCUAUGUUGAACUCCCUCUGUAUACAGUCUAUGGUCUUUCCACGUCGCAGCUCCGCCGCUCUCUAGUGCGCAGCUGCGGGACCUCCCGCUACAGCACCACCCAGCGGCGGCAAGAGGGAACUGCAGUCUCCGCCUUUGGGUUUCACAGCCAAAAAUAAAAAUAAAAUAAAACAAAAUAAAACAC